rnacentral:rRNA from 1 species
AUUGAACGCUGGCGGCAGGCCCAACACAUGCAAGUCGGACGGUAGCACAGAGGAGCUUGCUAUUCGGGUGACGAGUGGCGGACGGGUGAGUAAUGUCUGGGAAACUGCCCGAUGGAGGGGGAUAACUACUGGAAACGGUAGCUAAUACCGCAUAACGUCGCAAGACCAAAGUGGGGGACCUUCGGGCCUCACACCAUCGGAUGUGCCCAGAUGGGAUUAGCUGGUAGGCGGGGUAACGGCCCACCUAGGCGACGAUCCCUAGCUGGUCUGAGAGGAUGACCAGCCACACUGGAACUGAGACACGGUCCAGACUCCUACGGGAGGCAGCAGUGGGGAAUAUUGCACAAUGGGCGCAAGCCUGAUGCAGCCAUGCCGCGUGUAUGAAGAAGGCCUUCGGGUUGUAAAGUACUUUCAGCGGGGAGGAAGGUGCUGAGGUUACUAAGCUCAGCAAUUGACGUUACCCGCAGAAGAAGCACCGGCUAACUCCGUGCCAGCCGCCGCGGUAA